rnacentral:rRNA from 1 species
GGACUACAAGGGUUUCUAAUCCUGUUUGCUCCCCACGCUUUCGCGCCUCAGUGUCAGUUACAGGCCAAAAAGCCGCCUUCGCCACUGGUGUUCCUCCUAAUCUCUACGCAUUUCACCGCUACACUAGGAAUUCCACUUUUCUCUCCUGCACUCAAGUUUAACAGUUUCCAAUGACCCUCCACGGUUGAGCCGUGGGCUUUCACAUCAGACUUAUUAAACCACCUGCGCGCGCUUUACGCCCAAUAAUUCCGGACAACGCUUGCCACCUACGUAUUACCGCGGCUGCUGGCAC